CUAUGUUGGAACUUCAUAUGAACUACUGGGCUAUAUCAUAGAGUUUCUAAUCUGUAUGAGCACCUUAUUUUCUGGCUCUGGGUCAGUGAAAUGUGUCACUCCCUCCAAGCAACUCACCAAGAAGCCUGGAAAAGCAUGGAGGUCCCUAAUGCCAGGCUUCCCGUAACUCUCAUAAGAAGUCAACUAUCUGUUCUCACUCUGCAAAUGUAGACAAAGAUGUGUCCUGCCCUGAAGAUCUGGUGGGCUAAUUCAUAGCUCCAACAUGAAUGGUACAUAUGUUCAAGAUAAAAUUGUCAAGCUUGAUGUUGUGAGUCAUCUCAACCAACGCCUACAAGUGGAUUCUGGCUGCCAGAGGAAUUACUUCGCACUGUGACAAAGGAACAACAAAACUCUGAUCUCCCCUACUGUUAGCAGCAAAAUUGCCCUCAUUUUUGGAGCAUGAGCAGUACAGACAAUGACGCAAAGGUAAGAACUCUGAGAAGAACAACCUGCCUGCUCUAAGUGAAGAUCAGGUUCAAGACCAUCUAAAGAACAUGAACCACAGGUCCAUGGGACCUGAUGAGAUCCAGCCGUGGGUUCUGAGGGAACUUGUGGACAAAGUUGCCAAACCACUAUCAAUCAUAUUUGAAAGGUUGUGGAAGUCUGGUGAAGUUCCCACUGACUGGAAAAGGGAAAACAUUACCCCCAUUUCCAAGAAGGGAAAAAAGUGAAGAUCCAGAGACCUACAGGCCAGUCCAUCUCACCUCUGUGCCUCACAAGAUCAUGGAGCAGAUCCUCCUGAAGGUCCAACUAAGGCACAUAAAAAAUGAAGAUGAGGUGAUUAGUGAUAACCAACAUGGCUUCACCAAGGGCAAGUCAUGCCUGACAAAUAUGGUGACUUUUUAUGAUGGAGUUACAGCAUCACCAGAUAAAGGAAAAGCAACUGACAUCAUCUACCUGGACUUGUGCAAAGUGUUUGCCAUCAUCUUGCAUGACAUUCUGGUCACCAAAUUGAAGAAAAAAUUGAUGUGAUGGAUGGACCACUCCCUGGAUAAGGAAUUGGCUGGAUGGUUGCACUCAGAGAGAUAUGGUCAAUGGCUCGAUGUCCAAGCAGAGCCUAGCGACAAGUGGCAUUCCUCACAGAUUGGUGCUGGGACAGGUAUUCAACAUCUUUGUAGGCAACAUGGAGAGGGGAAUUGAAUGUACCAUCAGCAAGUUUACAGACGAUGCCAAGCUGAGUGGUACAUCUGACACACUAGAGAAAAGGACAAAUGCAAGGUCCUGAAUUUGGGUCAAGGCAUUCCCAAGCACAGAUACAAAUUGGACAUAGAAUGGCCUGAGACUAGCCCUGAGGUGAAGGAUUUGGUGGUGUCAGCUGAUGAAAGGCUCAACGUGAGCCAGUAAUGUAUACUUGCAGCCCAGAAGGCCAACUGUAUCCUGAGUUGCAUCAAGAGAAGUGUGACAAGUAGGUCAAGGGAGGUGAUUCUGCCCCUCUACUCUGUUCUCAUGAGACCCAACUUGGAGUACUGCACCCAGUUCUGGGACCAUCUAUACAAGAGGGACAUUGAGUCCAGAGAAGAAUCCGAAGAUGUUCAUAGCUAAGGUGUCAUAUAAUGUUACUCUACAGAGGUAAUACCAUGCUGCAGGUCGACAAAAUAUUAUAAUGUUGUGGUAUUAUUGAAACAAAUUUCUACCUCGUUAAAUGAAAAUUUUUGACUUUUCAAAACAGAAUUUCUAUUUUCAGAAUGACUUUCUACUGAGACAUUUUGAAUUUUCAGCCUAUCAUAAUUUGAAUUAAAACCAAGUUGUGAAACCAUGACCUUCUGUUGGAAGGAAAUUCUUUUUUUCUGUGAAAGGGCAAAUCCUUAAUCACUACAAAUCAUCAAGCAGUUGCUGUUUCUCUGCUUUGGUUAUCUUAGUUCAGCAGUUCAAGAAAUCAUCUGCAGUCCCACUUCUUUCUUACACCAAACAGUGAACUCUGAAAGAUCAUCAUAAUGAAUUUCCUGACCUGAUAUUAUCCUGCAUGUAACUGACACCAAGUGGUACCCCAGAACCUCACCUUAUACUUAAAAGGGCUGUAGUUCUUCAGCAAGAAACCUGUCAAGGGCUGUAGGAGGUGAGAAUCUGGUAUACACUUUGUAUUAGAUAUCUUUGUAGACAAAUAGACCUUGUGUGCACAAUUAUGUUUGCAGUCUUGCAUAACACAGUUUUACUUGUAAUUGUCAGGUUAUUAGCACAGUGUUUUAAUUUUGCUUUCUCCCGAUUAUUUGCAUGUUUCUUAAUUGGAAGCUAUUAGCAUAUGUAAAUACUCCCUUUCCAUGGUGUUUUGCAGCAUGAGAUCAUUGUGUUAAAUUAAUUUGUUAGCUAAAUAAAGAUUAAAAGUCAG
ensembl:lncRNA